UUCAUCUGGCAUAAUUAAAGAAUUUCAUGAUUUGAUUCCACAUAGCAUUUACUACAUUUACUACAUUGUUGCACGACUAUAAUGUGUCAUCCACAUUUUUGACUUCAUAAUAAAAUUAAAUGAUCCCCUCUGUAUAACAACAGAUAACAGAAAAGCCGAACAAGAAUAGAAUGAGGAAAAGCAAGAAACUUUACCCUUGGAGAACAGGGGAGUUAUUACCCCAGAAGCUAAGAGAGACAUGGCAUUGAUGAUGACUGUAAAUUGCCUGACUUUGUCUAUAAAAUUCCUUCCACUGAUUAGAGUUAAUGUUUAUGGGAUUUUAGGAGGGGUUAGGGAAGAAGAAGGCAAGAAGGAAGACAAGGAGAAAAGGAGAGGAACGGCAAACACCUAUAUAAAAUCAUAUCCUUUGUUAACUUCCUCUCAAAGAAAGAUGAUCCAGGGACUUCCUUAAGUGAACAAGCAGCGAGCAGAUAGAGACGUGAAAGAAGAAACGAAACAGGAGAAGCAGAGCUCUCCGGGCCGGAGCAGUACCUGGCAGAUGGGACAGACUGGAGCCUGGCUGUCAUACAAGGACAUCUUCUUUUUACCUGGAGAUAAAUAACAUAACAAAAAGAGAAACAUCUGUGUGUUUAUA